AGCAGCCGCGGUAAUUCCAGCUCCAAUAGCGUAUAUUAAAGUUGUUGCAGUUAAAAAGCUCGUAGUUGAAUUUCGGGGUCGGUAGGUUGGUCAUGCCUCAGGUAUGCACUGGUCUCACUGAUUCCUCCUUCCUGAUGAGCCGUAAUGCCAUUAAUUUGGUGUUGCGAGGAAUCUGGACUGUUACUUUGAAAAAAUUAGAGUGUUUAAAGCAAGCUAACGCUUGAAUACAUUAGCAUGGAAUAAUGGAAUAGGACGUUCGAUCCUAUUUUGUUGGUUUCUAGGAUUGACGUAAUGAUUAAUAGGGAUAGUUGGGGGCAUUAGUAUUCAAUUGUCAGAGGUGAAAUUCUUGGAUUUAUUGAAGACUAACUACUGCGAAAGCAUUUGCCAAGGAUGUUUUCAUUAAUCAAGAACGAAAGUUAGGGGAUCGAAGACGAUCAGAUACCGUCGUAGUCUUAACCAUAAACUAUGCCGACUAGGGAUCGGAUGAUGUAAUUUUUAAUGA
rnacentral:rRNA from 1 species